AUGAAGGUUUUCGGAUCGUAAAACUCUGUUGUUAGGGAAGAACAAGUACCGUUCGAAUAGGGCGGUACCUUGACGGUACCUAACCAGAAAGCCACGGCUAACUACGUGCCAGCAGCCGCGGUAAUACGUAGGUGGCAAGCGUUGUCCGGAAUUAUUGGGCGUAAAGCGCGCGCAGGCGGUUUCUUAAGUCUGAUGUGAAAGCCCCCGGCUCAACCGGGGAGGGUCAUUGGAAACUGGGGAACUUGAGUGCAGAAGAGGAGAGUGGAAUUCCACGUGUAGCGGUGAAAUGCGUAGAGAUGUGGAGGAACACCAGUGGCGAAGGCGACUCUCUGGUCUGUAACUGACGCUGAGGCGCGAAAGCGUGGGGAGCGAACAGGAUUAGAUACCCUGGUAGUCCACGCCGUAAACGAUGAGUGCUAAGUGUUAGAGGGUUUCCGCCCUUUAGUGCUGCAGCAAACGCAUUAAGCACUCCGCCUGGGGAGUACGGUCGCAAGACUGAAACUCAAAGGAAUUGACGGGGGCCCGCACAAGCGGUGGAGCAUGUGGUUUAAUUCGAAGCAACGCGAAGAACCUUACCAGGUCUUGACAUCCUCUGACAACCCUAGAGAUAGGGCUUCCCCUUCGGGGGCAGAGUGACAGGUGGUGCAUGGUUGUCGUCAGCUCGUGUCGUGAGAUGUUGGGUUAAGUCCCGCAACGAGCGCAACCCUUGAUCUUAGUUGCCAGCAUUCAGUUGGGCACUCUAAGGUGACUGCCGGUGACAAACCGGAGGAAGGUGGGGAUGACGUCAAAUCAUCAUGCCCCUUAUGACCUGGGCUACACACGUGCUACAAUGGGCAGAACAAAGGGCAGCGAAGCCGCGAGGCUAAGCCAAUCCCACAAAUCUGUUCUCAGUUCGGAUCGCAGUCUGCAACUCGACUGCGUGAAGCUGGAAUCGCUAGUAAUCGCGGAUCAGC
rnacentral:rRNA from 1 species